rnacentral:rRNA from 1 species
GAUCGGAGUCUGCAACUCGACUCCGUGAAGUUGGAAUCGCUAGUAAUCGUGGAUCAGCAUGCUGCGGUGAAUACGUUCCCGGGCCUUGUACACACCGCCCGUCACACCACGGGAGUUGGUUGUACCAGAAGCGGUUGAGCUAACCUUCGGGAGGCAGGCCGCCAAGGUAUGGCUGGUAACUGGGGUGAAGUCGUAACAAGGUAGCCCUAGGGGAACCUGGGGCUGGAUCACCUCCUUUUUAA